rnacentral:rRNA from 1 species
CAGCAGCCGCGGGAAUACGUAGGGUGCGAGCGUUAAUCGGAAUUACUGGGCGUAAAGCGGGCGCAGACGGUUACUUAAGCAGGAUGUGAAAUCCCCGGGCUCAACCUGGGAACUGCGUUCUGAACUGGGUGACUAGAGUGUGUCAGAGGGAGGUAGAAUUCCACGUGUAGCAGUGAAAUGCGUAGAGAUGUGGAGGAAUACCGAUGGCGAAGGCAGCCUCCUGGGAUAACACUGACGUUCAUGCCCGAAAGCGUGGGUAGCAAACAGGAUUAGAUACCCCAGUAGUCCCUGUCUCUUAUAC